GACGAACGCUGGCGGCGUGCUUAACACAUGCAAGUCGAGCGGUAAGGCCCUUUCGGGGGUACACGAGCGGCGAACGGGUGAGUAACACGUGGGUGACCUGCCCCUUGCUCUGGGAUAAGCCUGGGAAACUGGGUCUAAUACCGGAUAUGACCCUAUGGCGCAUGUUGUGGGGUGGAAAGCCUUUGCGCAGCUGGGGAUGGGCCCGCGGCCUAUCAGCUUGUUGGUGGGGUGAUGGCCUACCAAGGCGA
rnacentral:rRNA from 1 species